rnacentral:misc_RNA from 1 species
UCCCCCUUCAUCCUCGCAGCGGCUAUAGCCAGCUUUCUGUUAGGAGGAUGAUUAAAUCGGCAUGUAGCCCCAAAUCUACAAAGCCCUGUUCUGAUGUAAUAAGAACAAUCAGGCUCUCCAGGACGCUCAGGAUAGGGCCCAGAUUCCAUUGUUUCAUUUGUUCUCAAGUUCAUUUGCCACAUUGCAUCUUCGUUCAAGGACGGUGACAGAGAGGGUCCCUCAGUCACAGGCGGAGGACCAGUACGGGACAUCGUAAUUCCGGCAUCAAAAUCCAUUGAUAAGAAGAGCUGUUAUGAUCGUCCUCCAUCAACAAGCUGUGACUCUACCACUCCCCGCCGCAAUCCCCAUUCCCCAAUCCCCCUUCUCCCAGAGAAAGCUGUCACCCCUCUCCAGAAACUGAAAAUAACAAAUCCACGAACCAAGGAGCUUUGUUUUAGAUGGAAGGAGAGAGAAGGAGAGAGUGUGAUUUCAAUUUCAGCGCUUUAGAGAGAGAAAGCUGUGGGAAAGAUUAUUUUUCUUUCCUUUUUUUCUCCUUUUUGUUAGCAGAGAGAGAGAGAAAAGGGCGUUGUCUACUCCUCUCCACAGAAAUUGAGAGAGAAGAAGAGGAGAGAAUAAAAACCAACCAUCCAAACCAG